CAUUAAGAAGCUAAAUAAGCAUUAACCUUUUAAGUUAAAGAUUGAGAGCUUGACCUCUCCUUAAUGG
rnacentral:tRNA from 1 species